UGCUUCGGGGGCAAUCCAAAGUAAGACUGUCCAAAGUAAGACAGUCACAGUCAUGUUAAUAGAAUUCCCACCAGACAGCGGUUGAUUGUUCCAGAGGCCAAUGCCCAGAGCAGCAGGAAGUGACUUCAUCAAGCCAGAGUGGUGAAUUAGUUCCAGUUGUUUUUCCUGAGCCUCUCAACAACAGGAGAGGCAAGCAGAGCACAGUAGGAACUGAAUGGGGUUUGCGUGAAAGAAAAAUCCAGGGAAAGGUGUCCUGCAGAACGUGCACGGUUGCCUCCCUUGAACACACCUGAAUUUGCCAACAUCCCUCUUAAAAAGAGGCACCAAGAGGAAUGCAGAAGGCCAGCAUGCAAUGCUAUAGCCCAAGUUCCAUGCCAGCACUUGAACUUUGAGAUGCUCUUAGCUUUUCUAGCAGUCAUAAGGCACUUUUGCCCAAGACCAAGCUUGCAGUCAGGGAAAGCCUCCAGGUUUUUCGAAAUGGCCUUGAACAGGUUUUAAGCCAGCUCUCUUGCUUUUAAUCAGAGGUCAUUUGGCCAAGUUGCAGCCUGUUGUUCCAGCCCAGGAUUUCUCCACCUAAGCAGAUACUUCUAAUUGGGGAGAGUGGAGAAGCGGCAACUUCAAUUGUCCCCCCUGACAUCUGGGGUUGGAUAAUUCUUGUUGCAGAGAGGCUGUCCAGUGCAUUGUGAGAACUUUACCAGCAACCCGGGCCUCUGCCCCCUAGAUGCCAGUGGCAUUCCCCUCGCACCCCCUGAAAUGUUCUAGACACUGACAAAUGUCAUCUGGGGGCAAGAUCACCACCUUUCUAGUAUAAUUCAAUCAUCUAAAAAUAGGCCAUUUUUUGGACUAUUUGGAGAAAUCCAAGACUCUGAAGGAAUGAAUAAUGUUUCUUAAAUAUCUCUGUUCUUUCUACAAAUCCAAUGACUAGAGAGAGGUGGAAAUAAUGAACUGAGAAAGACAUAAGGUCAGGAACUGAGAACUACACAUCAAAUAGAUUUUCCAUAUGUCUGAUGUUCUAAAAUGCAGAGUGAAUACUCAGACCCUAUUACACAGGAUGACAAAGUCUAUGAAUAAAAUGUUUACUUCCUGAUGGCAAAAAUAAAAUUAUUCAUUUCAUUCUCCUACCAUCAUGCAUGACUAGCUCUGGACAAAUAUAAAUGGGUCUGAUGAAGAAUGUAUUUUAAGAGGCUCACUGUGGAUGGCAAUGGAAUACUGGCUUUCUAUGCAAUUAAAUACAUGUUUACAGGGUGUUUGCUAUGUAUAAAGCCCAUGUGGGCAACAUGGUGGAUGCAAGGAUGAUUAUGAUGCAAUUCCUGUGCAGAGGCCGUGUUUCUCAAAUGGUGCACACACGGCACCCCUAGAGUGGAAAACUUGGGGUGUGCAUGGAUGAAUGCUGAAUGGACCGUACUGAUUAUAGAGGGAGUCCGCUGGGGGAACCCUCAUAGAUUGGAAGAGAAAGUAGAUGAAGGUUAAUAUCUCAGGUUCCUGUGUCUGCUAUGCAAAAGACCACAGACCUAGUGGAUUAAAACAACUCAGAUUUAUUCUUAUAGUCCCACAAGUCAGAGUCUAAAAUUAAGAUGUUGGCAGGGCUGUGUUCCUUUUAGAAUCUUCAGGGCAGAAUUUGUUUCUUUGCUCUUUCCAGAAUCUAGAGAUGCCUGCAUUCCUUGACCUCUGGAUUCUUCCUUAUGUGGCUCCAAUGACUUGCUUUUGUGAUUGCAUCUCCUUCUCUGACUCUGACCCUCCUGCCUCCAUUUUAAUUUUUUAAUUUAAUUUUUAUUUUUUAAUUUAAUUUUUUGAGACAGGGUCUCGCUCUGUUGCCCAGACUAGAGGGCAGUGGCAUGAUCUUGGCUCAUCACAACCUCCGCCUCCUGAGUUCAAACCAUUUUCCUGCCUCAGCCUCCUGAGUAGCAGAAACUACAGGUGUAUGCCACCACACUCAGCUAAUUUUUGUAUUUUUAGUAGAGAUAGGUUUCACCACAUUGGCCAGUCUGGUCUUGAACUCCUGGCCUCAAGUGAUCCACCAACCUCAGCCUCCCAAAGUGCUGGAAUUACAGGCAUGAGCCACCGCGCUUGGCCCUGCCUCCUUCUUAUAAGGACUUUUAUGGUGAAAAUGGGUGUAUCCUGAUGAUCUAAGGUCGUCUAAAGACCUUUCAUCUAAUCAUAGCUGCAGAGUCCUUUUUACUGUAUAAGGUAAGGACUAGGAUGUGGACAGCUUUGGGGAGUGGAGGCGGUGUGGGCGUUACUUAGCCUAGCAUGGUUAGCAGGAAGAGAGGCCACAAAGGCUAUGAAUUCAGAGAAGAGGACACUCAUGAUAGAGAACCUAGACAGAAAAAGACAGAAAGAGAACAAAGCAUGCUGAGGGGUGAGUAAGCCAAGGGCGUUGGGGAAUUUCAGUUAAGAAAGUGAAAGGACUGGCUUAACCCCACUUCCAGAAACCUGAACCACCAUGCUACCUCCUCUGGCUAAUGCCAUUAUAAUGAGGUUGAACCCAAGCAAAUGAAAAACACAUUUGAAGAACAUGUGGAAGCACACGUCUGGUUGACUGUCCCUUACGGUGAGGUCCUGGGAAGUAUUUGAGAGGAGCUUGUGCUGCAAGGCAUGUGGCCAUGAGCAAAAGGACGCUUUUGUCGUCUGCAGGGAUGUGUUGGUUCUCCCGGUGGCUUUGGGUGGAUCCUCUAUGGGUGGUGAGUCUUGCACUUGAUAAGGCACUCUGGCUUGCCUGUUCUUCCCAUCAGCACUGCUGGCUGGAAGAGCCUUGGCUGGGAAACAUGGAGCUCAUGCCUUCUGGUGCCCUGGGCAAGUUGCUUGGGAAUAAUGGUCAUGGUGGCAGCUGCUGCUUAAGCUGCUCCCCAUUCCCCUUGCCAACUCACAGGAGGAUGAGUCCAAAGAGAAGGUGUCAUUAGGGUAGAAGGAAAAUAAAGUAUUCUUGCCUUCUCCUCAAAAUUCAACUUUCCCAGCUCUUUUUUUUUUUUUUUUUUUUUUGCCUUUAGGGUCUCUCACCAAAGAUGAGUCCCACUCAGUUCACUUUAACUUCAUUAUUUCAUCUCACUCUUUCUCCUUCCCUCUUUCUCGCUUUCUAUUUGUUCACUCAAUGACUUUUUAUUGAACGGCCACCAGAUCAAUAGCACAGUGCGGCAUGUCAGGGAUAUGAUACACGGGGAAUCUAAGAGCUGAUCUCUGUCUUAUAGGAACUCAGCCAGAAUAGGGAAGAGUAGUAGAACAGGGGAUCAGCAAUUAUUUUAAACAUUUCAAUAAUAUUUGUUUUAAAGUGAAUGGUAAAAAUAUAGCUGGCAUAUCACAGAUAUUAUUGCUAAGUUAAAAGAAAGACAAGUCAAAUUAAAGUCAACUUAAAAGCAUUCAGUGAAUGACAGUACACAGAGAGCAGAUAGGUUACAGGAGAUGAAGGUGCCUGGUGUUUGGAAAUGUUUGGAUAAAGCAAAAUGGAAAUGGCUAAGACAAAGAAGGAGGUAAUAAUGGCCUAAGAAAGUUAUAAAAUAGAAUGGAGGAAUUCAAGGAGAAAGAGAUUACUUCCUACUCACCGAAAGUGUUACGGACCAUGCAGUAUUUGAAACUGACCUAGAAAGACCAACAGGAUUGUGAUGGGUGGAGGCAGGAAGGGAAAUAUUUUAGGAAGAGUGACUGACAGUCAAGUUCUGGAGCGUGAACAUGCAUGGCAUAUUGGGAAGCGGGAACAGUACACCCAUAUUCUGCUUUCCAUCUUGUAUCCUUCUUAGUCCUGCAAAUGUCCAGAGUAGAUGUGCUGUUUAUCCAUUUCUCCUUCUUUGUGGGGACACCUGCAUUUUCCCAUGAGUUUACCCCAUUCUUCAUGUAGCCUUGCUGAGACUUUCCAUUAUGGUGCCUCUCUCUCCUAUAGUGAAGGGAUGAAGUGAGUCCGACUCAAGACAGGCCACCCAGGACUUAAUAUGCUGGGAGCGUACAAUGUUUUCAGAGAGACAUAAGGAUGGAAAAUACUUGGAGCUGAUUUGUCCUGAUCGUGAGAGCCUAAAAAUAUCAUCCAUUCAUCCCAGGAACCUAGAUCGCUGAAGCAGCUUUUUCCGGCAUUCCUGAAGCUUGCUUCAUCCUAUUUUUCUUUGCUUCUCUAUGUCUUGUGUGUGUGUGCACACACAUGCCUGCAUAUGUGUUUUCUUCUCUUCAUAAGGUUUGGUUUCCAUGGCUUGCAACCAAAGAAAUGAUUGUAUAGCCUGACAUAAUCAGUCAGCAAUCACAGUCAUUUUACAAAUAACACAGCAGUAAAGGGUUCACUGAUUUCCCCAUGCCACAGAGCUAAUGAGCAAUGAAGCUGGAAUCUGAACUCAG
rnacentral:lncRNA from 10 species